ensembl:lncRNA
AUGACACAGAUUCACAUCAAGAUAAAGAUGAUGUGCAAAGAAAACCCAUGCCCCCAAAGAGAUUACAGCCACUCCUCCAGACAGAUCCAGCAGGAAUAACCACAAAAGUCACCUUGGGGCCACUUAAUAGAACAGGUGGCUGCCGCCUGGUGAUGAUGGCCGUAUGAGCCCCACCAUGGCCCACUGGAAGCGUCAGAGCACAGUGAGCAGCCUGCUAGACCACAGGGUGAGACCGGGCCUGGAGCCCAAGAGCAAGGACGUGGAGGAACUAGCCCUGGAAGAGUACAUGCCCACUGGACUGGAGCUAGCGGCCCUGUGGCCUGAGAGGCCGUUGCCUGCCCAGAAGGGCGGCCCUGAUGGGUACUUUGGCUCCAACUAGAGUAAACAACACCUCGGAGGAGGAGGACUAUGACGAGGGCUGCCUGAAGAGGAGGGCAUCACCUAUUACAUCCGCUACUGCCCCAAGGACAACAGCUACCUGCAGGGGAUGGACUGCAACAGGCAGGGCUACUUGGCCCACCUAGAGAUGCCAUCUGGAGAUGGAUGAGUGCCAGGAGGUGGUGGAGGAGUGGACAGAGCCAGGGCCAGCGACUCCCCAGAGGUCUGCCCACUUGCCAAGUCUGGCCGUGGCCCCAGCAGACACAAGGGCAGGCCCAAGUUGCUGAACCUCCCUCGAGGCCAAGCAUCCUGCCGAUGCCCAGAGGAGCUUCAAGACCAGGACCCAGGAAGAGAGGCCUAAGUGGCCCCAAGAGGAGGACACUGGGCUGCACUCUGAGAAGUUCCUGGAUCUCCCCUGGACCUGACCAUCAUGUGGCCAGAGAAAUUGCCCAGCUCUCCUGUUUUCUCAGCACUUCAGCAGGACAAGAAAGACAGAGCCUGCCAGAACCAAGUCGACCGUGCCUCCUCAGCAGAGACCAGACCUGCCCCUCGUCUCCCAGCCCUGCGCCUGGUGUGUGUUUUGUCAACACUUCAGUGGAACAAGAAAGGACCAAGCCUGCAAGAACCAAGGUGUAUAUGAACUUGAUUCAGUUAUACCUGCUGCUGCUGCUGCCGCCGCCUCGCUUUAGUCAUGUCCGACUCUGUGCGACCCCAUAAACGGCAGCCCACCAGGCUUCCCGUCCCUGGGAUUCUCCAGGCAAGAACACUGGAGUGGGUUGCCAUUUCCUUCUCCAAUGCAUGAAAGUGAAAAGUGAAAGUUAAGUCGUUCAGACGUGUCCGACUCUAGCGACCCCAUGGACUGCAGCCUACCAGGCUCCUCCAUCCAUGGGAUUUUCCAGGCAAGAGUACUGGAGUGGGGUGCCAUUGCCUUCUCCGCAGUUAUACCUAGAUGUUUAUCUAUUCUUUUUCUGCUUUUUUACUCAUAUAGGUUAUUACAUUUUUUCCAGUACAGUUUCCUGUUCUAUUCAGAAGACUUAAUAUAUUAUCAACUUGAUAUAUAUUAGUGCAUAUAUUUCCAUCCCAAACUAUUAAUUUAUCCCUCUCUUCUAACUUUCUUUUGAUAAUUGGAAUUUGGUUUUCUCAGGCUGUGAGUCUGUCUGGUACAUUAGUUCACUGGUAUGAAUGUAUAGAUUCCACCCGUACGUAUCACACAUUUGUCUCUGACUUACCUCACAUAGAAUAUAAUUUCUUGGUUCAUCCAUGCUGCUGCCAAUGUCAUCAUUUCAUUUUGUUUUACGACUGAGUAGUAUUCCAGUGUAUAGGUGUACCUCAUAGCCUUCACCUUUCUGUCACUGGACAUUUUGGUGGAUUCUAUAUCUUGGCUAUUGUAAAUAGAGUUGCCCUGAAAGUUGAGAUGCACGUGUCAUUUUGAAUGAUGAUUUUUUUCUGGACCUGAGUCCAGGAAUGGGAUUUUAGGAUCAUAUGAUACCUCUCUGUUUAGUGUUUCAAGGAACGUCCAUGAUGUUUUCCAUAGUGGCUUCACCAUUUACAUUCCCACCAGGAUUGUAGGAGGAUUCCUUUUUCUGUACAUUCUCUACAGUGUUUGUUCUUUGUAGAUCUUUUCGAUGAUGGCCACCGUGACUAAGGCAAUACCUUAUUGAAGUUUUGAUUGGCAUUGAUUUAAUAAUUAUUGAUGUGGAGUAUCUUUCCAUGUGCU